GGGAAUUUGGCUCAGUGGUAGAGUGCUUGCCUAGCAUGCAUGAAGCCCUAAGUUCAAUUCCUC
rnacentral:tRNA from 1 species